rnacentral:piRNA from 1 species
UAGGUGGUUUCAAAUAAUGUAGGUACAC